GGUCGUCUCCGUCCUCAACCUCUUCUUUCUGCUGCCUGGAAACACCCAGCUGGCUGCCUCCAAGUACUUAACAAAGAAAACAAAUCGUGUUGCCUAAGGAGAACGUCUGUGGAUUCUGCUGCCUGGUUUGUGGCUCCUCCCAAAGCAGAUGGAAUUGGCAGAGAGGAAGAAGGUCCGUCUCCCGACAGGCAGGGUCUGCCUCUGGGAGGAUGCAGAUGAAGGCCCCACAGGCUAUUAUUCAUGGAGACCAAUAUGCCGAGCUGUCCGCCUGACAUCUUGAUUUGGCUUCACGGCCUGGUCUGACCCAGAGGCAACAUAGCACGUGAGAGAGACAACAAGGGUCAGAGGCUCUGUCUCUCUGCUCCAUCCCUCCUGGCUGAGUCAUCUGGGACUUUCUGCUCAGCAUCCUUAGCCGGUUGUAUUGAAGCUUUGUCUCCUCUCGGGUCCUCAGGAGUCCGAAAAGGAUGGAGGGAGACGCAGGUGUGAUAGAACCGCGGGAGGUGAAGGAAGCCUCACCUGGAAGGGAGUGGGGGCCCCUGCAGGGGGCGCUCUCACACCGGUACCCUCCUUACAGCUGCCCAACCAGCUGGGGAAGGAAGAGAAUUAUCUUCACAAGAGAGGGUACUUUUCACAUUGGGAUCUCAUCUCCUGCCUUGAAGAAAGGGCGGGAAGGGCUCUCCCGCCCCAGUAACAAAGCACUAACCACCGUUUGCAGCCAGUGAGAUACCACCACGGCCUCAACCUCCUGUUCUUCCCCAGUGAACUUCUGUUCAGAACAAUCCUCCCCAAUUUCCUCCUAAAACCUGGGAAGAGCUGACCUACCCCUUUUUCCUUCUGACCUGCCUGUGGUUCACCAUCGUUUGCUUGUCCAGAACUGCAUUUCUUCUGCUCGUCCAGAAUGAACUCCUUUUGCUGGUAUCAUAUCUAGCUGUUUUAUUUUUAAGGUUGACAGAUGUCAUGGAGAUAAUAAUAACUGUCCCUUUCUGAGAGCCUGCUAGGAGCCCACUUCUCACUGAAUCCUCAAAGAACCUAGACGGGGAGUUAUUGACACCAUGCGUUAGCUUUAUCUCCUGUGCGUCCAAACUGUAGAAGUGGAGUCACACUAAUUUGAACCCCAGAAAAAAUGGAGGCGGGGCUAUUGUGAAGAGAAAGGAGUGUCUCAUGUGCCCAAGAGCAAGAAUUCGUGACCCUCAGUGAGGUUCUCCCACCACAGCCUGCAAAGCUGAGCGGAUUUUCUCCCUGCUGUACCAUCUCUGCUCCUCUUUGAGCAUCUCAUUGUGUCCCUCCUGUCUCCCUUUCCCUCCCUCUCCCCCUCCUUCCCUCUCUCUCUCUCACCUGCCCUGCACCCCACUAAAAUAAAC